rnacentral:rRNA from 1 species
CGCAAGGUUGAAACUCAAAGGAAUUGACGGGGGCCCGCACAAGCAGUGGAGUAUGUGGUUUAAUUCGAAGCAACGCGAAGAACCUUACCAGGUCUUGACAUCCAACUAACGAAGUAGAGAUACAUCAGGUGCCCUUCGGGGAAAGUUGAGACAGGUGGUGCAUGGUUGUCGUCAGCUCGUGUCGUGAGAUGUUGGGUUAAGUCCCGCAACGAGCGCAACCCCUGUGAUUAGUUGCUACGCAAGAGCACUCUAAUCAGACUGCCGUUGACAAAACGGAGGAAGGUGGGGACGACGUCAAAUCAUCAUGCCCCUUAUGACCUGGGCUACACACGUACUACAAUGGCCGUUAACAGAGGGAAGCAAAGCCGCGAGGCAGAGCAAAACCCCAAAAACGGUCCCAGUUCGGAUUGCAGGCUGCAACCCGCCUGCAUGAAGUUGGAAUUGCUAGUAAUCGCGGAUCAGAAUGCCGCGGUGAAUACGUUCCCGGGCCUUGUACAC